CCUAUCAAACUUUACUUUAGUUUAACUGGGGCAGUUAAUUAAUAAAAAUUUUAAUAAAGAUUAAGUACUAAAUAGANNNCCCAACANUAGUUGAUUACANUGAACAAGUUACUGUAGGGAUAACAGCGUAAUAUAUAUCUAAAGUUCUUAUUUUGAUAUAAGUUUGCGACCUCGAUGUUGAAUUNAUAUUACUUUCAAGCGCAAGAGCCUGAAAAGUNGGUCUGUUCGACCCCUAAAUAUAUACAUGAUUUGAGUUCAAAUCGGUGUAAACCAGAUUGGUUUCUAUCUAUUNUUAUUUGUGUCUUAGUACGAAAGGACCUGAAACAAUAUUAUAUAAUNAUUUAUAUGGCAGAAAAAUGCUUUAGAUUUAGGAUCUAAUUAUAAUAGGUUAUUAUACUCUAUUUAACUUGCCUAAUCUCUGUUAUUAGAAUCCUUAUCGCAGUAGCUUUUUAUACCCUCCUAGAGCGAAAAAUUCUAAGCUACAUC
rnacentral:rRNA from 1 species